rnacentral:rRNA from 1 species
UUGAACGCUGGCGGAAUGCUUUACACAUGCCAGUCGAACGGCAGCACGGGGGCAACCCUGGUGGCGAGUGGCGAACGGGUGAGUAAUACAUCGGAACGUGCCCGGUCGUGGGGGAUAACGUAGCGAAAGUUACGCUAAUACCGCAUACGAUCUGAGGAUGAAAGCGGGGGACCUUCGGGCCUCGCGCGAUCGGAGCGGCCGAUGUCAGAUUAGGUAGUUGGUGGGGUAAAGGCCUACCAAGCCGACGAUCUGUAGCUGGUCUGAGAGGACGACCAGCCACACUGGGACUGAGACACGGCCCAGACUCCUACGGGAGGCAGCAGUGGGGAAUUUUGGACAAUGGGCGCAAGCCUGAUCCAGCCAUUCCGCGUGCAGGACGAAGGCCUUCGGGUUGUAAACUGCUUUUGUAUGGAACGAAAAGGCUCUGGCUAAUACCUGGGGCUCAUGACGGUACCGUAAGAAUAAGCACCGGCUAACUACGUG